GAUGAACGCUGGCGGCGUGCCUAAUACAUGCAAGUCGAGCGAACGGACGAGAAGCUUGCUUCUCUGAUGUUAGCGGCGGACGGGUGAGUAACACGUGGAUAACCUACCUAUAAGACUGGGAUAACUUCGGGAAACCGGAGCUAAUACCGGAUAAUAUUUUGAACCGCAUGGUUCAAAAGUGAAAGACGGUCUUGCUGUCACUUAUAGAUGGAUCCGCGCUGCAUUAGCUAGUUGGUAAGGUAACGGCUUACCAAGGCAACGAUGCAUAGCCGACCUGAGAGGGGGAUUGGCCCACCUGGAACUGAGACACGGUCCCGAAUCCUAAGGGAGGCAGGCGUAGGGAAUCCUUCGCAAUGGGGGGAAGCCUGACGGAGCAACGGCGCGUGAGUGAUGAAGGUCUUCGGAUCGUAAAACUUCGUUAUUAGGGAAGAACAUAUGUGUAAGUAACUGUGCACAGCUUGACGGUACCUAAUCAGAAAGCCACGGCUAACUACGUG
rnacentral:rRNA from 1 species